rnacentral:lncRNA from 1 species
AUACUAUAACAUGUUUUAUUCUAUUUUAAAUAUUAUAUACUUUUAUCUAUUUACAAAAUUACCCUGUUUAUGAUAACUCUGGGUUUUUUUUUCACGUUGUGUAUUUACCAAUUAUAUUUAAUUUAUCAUCCACCAAAACUACACAAGGGGCUUAUUUAUACCUACUUGAAUAACAGAAAAUAGUACAUGGUUUUUGUUGUACGACAUUUCCUUGACAAAAUUGUCCCCCAUACAUAGGUGCUGGGUCUGUGCAAUUGCGUGUUCGGAACUGGUAACUUCCACAAAAGCACGCACUCCAGGGAGACCAUGUACUCCAAUGACCAUUGACUAAUAAAACAAUAAAUGGCAUAUUGCACAUGUUAGCAACUAUUGCUGAAUAUAAUCAACACUCUGUCAGCAAAGACAACACGUAUGUACUGAAUUGAAACUUAAACUUGUUCUCUGUAGUUUUUUAGAUUUUUUUCAUUGUUGUAUGUAUGGUUGAAAAUUCAUCGACUCCGUCAUGGCAUCAGUUAAAUAUGUUGUUUUGUUAUCAAUGAAAUACAAAACGCUCAGUGUUUUUACUUUAUCAUAUUUAUAUCUUAUUUUAUAACCUUGUAUUACAUUUGGAGGCGUAAAACAUUUGUACUAAUGCCGUGUUCACACUAAACGCCAUGUACAGUAAACGUGUUUCCAAUAAGUUUAAUGUAAUAUACACUGGUUUCACAUUAAAUUUGUUCACAUCUCUAUAUUUGGUUUAGUUACCUGCACAAGUGAUUUGUUCACACUUCUAAACUAAAAGUCAUUUUAAUGUCCAUUACAUAGAAACGAAUUCGAAUUUGUAGGACAACUUUUUCUAGCAGUUAUCAAAACAAUUUUGAUAAUUUGCAGUAUUUCAAAGAUACUAAAGAUGUCUCGGCUACCAGAGGCGGAUUUUUCAAAUGGAAUUCCAAACCUAGGUUGAAAAGGGUGAGUUUCAACCAUAUGUCCCCAUUCAAAUGCGUUGAUCGUCCAAAAAAGGGGCUCCAAUUCCCGGAAACCCUCUCUGGAUCCGCCACAAAUAACGCAAUAAAAAACAUAGGUUGCAGCAGUGUGCUACCAAAUGACAAAGACGGAUUGACAUGUUUCGGAUGUUUUAGUAAUGCAUUUAUGAGGGAAUCGUUAAGACCAGUGGCAAAUAUUUCUUUGAAGUCCAGGUAAUUUAGGAAGACACUGUAAAAUGAAUUAUGUAUUUGGCAAAGAUGAUGCUCUUAGUAUCGAUAAGGGUUGAGGGGAACGACCAUUUGACCCCAAGGCUUUCCCUAUACCUUUUAGUGUUAUAAUUUAGAAAAAAAAAUAAUUGAUUGAUAGCUUUGAAAAUACAAAUAAAAUUGUUCGUGCUAUGCGCGAACAAACAUUUCUGACUCAAGUAAAAAAACAUAACCCCCAUCUCCCUUGAAGUUAAUGGUUGCCCUAAUAACGUUACUUAAAGGUUUUUGUAUAUAACAAAGCAAUACAUCGAGUUAAG